rnacentral:sRNA from 1 species
AACGAACCCACUCACGUUCCAACGUUGGC